CGCUCCGCAAAGGCAAUAAGCCAAGAACACGAACACCACCUUAACACUCAACCGAUUCUAGUCCAAAGCGAAUCUCUCUCUGUCUCAGUGUCUUUCUCUCUCCAGAAUUUAUUUGACAACAAAACCUUAGGCUGAGAGACAAGCCGGUCUGAGAUUCGCAAACCAAGUUGUUUCUGAUGGAAGACACUAACACUAUGUCUGCUAACAAUGUGGCUCGCGCCAUAGCAACUGCCCUGGACUGGAGUUCCACUCCCGACGCUCGAAAAGCCGCUGUCUCUUUUCUCGAAUCUAUCAAAUCAGGUGACUUGCGGAUUUUGGCAAACACUUCAUUUCUUUUGGUAAAAAAGGAUUGGUCAUCUGAAAUUCGGCUGCAUGCUUUUAAAAUGCUGCAGCAUUUGGUGCGAUUAAGGUGGGAUGAAUUAAGCCCUUCUGAGCGUAAGAACUUUGCAAAUCUUUCUGUUGAUUUGAUGUCUGAGAUUGCUGAUCCUUGUGAAGAAUGGGCACUUAAAAGCCAGACUGCUGCCCUUGUUGCUGAGAUAAUUAGAAGGGAGGGCCUUAAUCUAUGGCAAGAAUUGUUUCCAUCACUGAUUUCUUUAUCUGGCAAUGGUCCUAUUCAAGCUGAGUUGGUUUCAAUGAUGCUUCGGUGGCUUCCUGAAGACAUCACAGUUCACAAUGAAGACUUGGAAGGUGACCGUCGAAGGCUACUCUUGCGUGGGUUAACACAAUCUCUGCCUGAAAUUUUGCCUCUGUUGUAUAAUUUAUUAGAAAAGCACUAUGGAGCUGCUAUUGAAGAAGCAGGUAGACAGCAGAUGGACAGUGCAAAACAGCACGCUGCUACAGUAACAGCUACUCUCAAUGCUAUAAAUGCGUAUGCUGAGUGGGCUCCUUUGCCUGAUCUUGCUAAGCACGGCAUCAUUAACGGUUGUGGCUUCCUUCUUUCUGCUCCAGAUUUUCGUCUUCAUGCUUGUGAGUUUUUUAAGCUAAUUUCCCCAAGGAGGAGACCUGCUGACACAUCUGCUUCUGAGUUUGACUACGCUAUGAACAGCAUCUUCCAGAUCUUGAUGAACAUAUCGAGAGAAUUUUUGUACAGAUCUGAAUCAAGUCCUGAUGCCCUAGAUGAGGGUGACUAUGAAUUUGCAGAAUAUAUUUGUGAAAGUAUGGUGUCAUUGGGUUCGUCAAACUUGCAAAGUAUUGCUGGAGAUACCACCAUACUUCCUCUUUACCUAGAACAGAUGCUGGGAUAUUUUCGACAUUUCAAGUUUGCUAUUCAUUUCCCAUCCCUGCACUUUUGGCUGGUGCUGAUGAGAGAUUUAAUGUCAAAACCAAAGAACUCUGUAAACUCUGCUGCAGAUAGUUCAGCUACCGGUGGCUCUGGAGAGGGUGAAAAUGCGAAGAAAAAGAUUCUAAGUUUAGUGAAUGACAAUUUUUGUGGUGCAAUUUUGGAUACGUCUUUCCCUCGCAUGCUCAAGAAAGAAAAGCUUCUUCCUGAAACUGCAGUUUCCUUAGGCGUAUUGGAGUUGUGGAGUGAUGGUUUUGAAGGCAAGGGUGAAUUCAGUCAAUACCGGUCCAGGCUGUUGGAGCUGAUUAGGUUUAUUUCAUCUUACAAACCUCUGAUGGCUGCUACUAAAGUUUCGGAAAAGAUUAAUGCGAUUAUCAUGAACCUGUUGCAUUCAUCAGCACCGGCUCAGGACUUAGCUGUGAUGGAAAGCAUGCAGUUGUCUUUGGAGAAUGUUGUUAAUGCAGUUUUUGAUGGUUCCAAUGAAUUUGCCAAGGCAUAUGCUGAAGUUCAGCUUACAGUUUGUAGUAUAUUUGAAGGCUUACUUCGGCAACUUCUUUCUAUAAAAUGGACGGAGCCUGCCCUUGUGGAAGUACUUGGUCACUAUCUGGAUGCUAUGGGUCCAUUUUUGAAGUAUUUUCCAGAUGCGGUUGGGAGCGUUAUCAAUAAACUAUUUGAGCUUCUUACUUCCCUUCCUUUUGUCAUCAAGGAUACUUCGACAUUUAGUGCACGUCAUGCAAGGUUACAGAUUUGUACGUCAUUUAUUCGGAUAGCAAAAGCUGCUGACAAAAGCAUUCUGCCUCACAUGAAGGGCAUUGCUGAUACCAUGGCCUGUUUGCAAAAGGAGGGCCGUUUGCUUCAGGGAGAGCAUAAUCUUCUGGGUGAAGCUUUUCUUGUUAUGGCUUCUGCUGCUGGGUUUCAACAACAACAGGAAGUAUUAGCCUGGCUAUUAGAACCUUUGAGCCAACAGUGGACACAAUCAGAAUGGCAGGAGAAAUAUUUAUCUGAUCCACCAGGGUUAAUUCGCUUGUGCUCAGAAGCACCGGUGAUGUGGUCAAUUUUUCAUACUGUGACAUUCUUUGAGAAGGCACUUAAGAGGAGUGGCAUGAAGAAAGCUUAUUGGAAUUCAGAAAAUAGCUCGACACCAAAUUCCACUUCUUCAAACCCAAUGGCUUCUCAUAUGUUAUGGAUGCUGCCUCCUCUCUUAAAACUUCUCCGUGCUAUACAUUCUCUCUGGUCUCCAUCCAUAUACCAAAUGUUACCUGUGGAAGUCAAAGCUGCAAUGAGCAUGAGUGAUGUUGAGAGAUUCAGUCUUCUAGGAGAAGGAAACCCGAAAUUGUCAAAAGGUGCUUUGGCUUUCAUGGAUGGAUCUCAGGUCAAUAUGAAUAAGGAAGGACACGCAGAACCAAAUGAAUCUGAUAUACGAAAUUGGUUGAAAGGAAUCAGGGACAGUGGAUAUAACGUACUGGGCUUGUCGACAACUAUUGGAGAUAUGUUUUUCAAAAUUUCUGAUGUGCACACUGUUGCUGUUGCCUUGAUGGAGAAUAUACAGUCAAUGGAGUUCAGGCAUAUAAGGCAGCUCGUUCACUCUAUUUUGAUUCCUUUAGUUAAACAUUGUCCUCCAGAUAUGUGGGAGAUUUGGCUGGAAAAGCUGUUGCACCCAUUAUUUAUCUUCGCUCAGCAGGCUCUCAGCUGUUCAUGGUCUAGUCUUCUGCAAGAUGGUAGAGCAAAGGUUCCAGAUGUUCACAGCAUUCUCGCUGGAUCAGACUUGAAAGUAGAAGUGAUGGAGGAAAAACUUCUCAGGGAUCUCACACGUGAGAUGUGUUUGCUCCUCUCCGUUAUUGCUUCUCCACCACUUAAUGGUGGACUCCCUUCUUUAGAGCAGUCUGGGCAUGUCAGUCGUUUAGACACUUCUUCUCUGAAAAGCUUGGAUUCAGUUGCAUCAGGCUCUAUGGUUGGUUACCUUCUGAAGCAUAAAGGCUUAGCACUGCCAAUGCUGCAUAUAUGCUUAGAAGCUUUUACAUGGACUGAUAGUGAAGCUGUGACAAAAGUUUCCUCGUAUUGUUCUGUGUUGAUAGUUAUAUCAAUAUGGACAAAUUGUACAGAACUUGUAGAAUUUGUUGCUAGAGAUCUUUUUACUUCCAUUAUUAAGGGUUUAGCCCUUGAGUCAAAUGCUAUAAUUAGUUCUGAGUUAGUCGGCCUCUGUCGGGAAAUAUUUGUGUAUCUCUGCGAUAGACAUCCGGCUCCCAGACAGGUUUUGUUGUCUCUCCCCUCGAUCACACCCCAUGAUUUGCUUGCUUUUGAAGAAGCUUUAACAAAAACAGCCAGUCCAAAGGAACAGAAACAACAUAUGAAAAGCCUGCUUCUGUUAGCAACUGGAAACAAAUUGAAAGCGCUUGCAGCUCAGAAAAGUGUGAAUGUCAUCACAAAUGUUUCAACCAGGUAUUGAGACUAGGCUUCGUUAAAAGAUGGGUUAAGGUUGCCUGAGUCUAGGAUCUGCGAUAUCUACUUUUACUGGCUAUAUUCAACUUCUAAGCUCUUUUGCUUAUCAUUCAGCGAGACCGCGCAGCUCGUCUAAUGUUCCUGAAUACAAAGUUGGCGAUGAGGAUGCUGUGGGACUGGCGGCUAUUUUGUAAUAUCAAUCUGAGCUUAUGAUAGGGUGUGUACAGAAACGGGCUCUUGUUGAGUGAGGAGUUUCUUGCUAAACUUUGGAGGCUGAAAACCCCUUUAACUUAUAAAAGUAUGAAAACGAGUGGGAAGUGCGAGAUUUUGCGUCCUUCCUCUCUUGGCUCAUAGGAACACAGAAAUCAGCAUUAGCAGAAGACAAUAUGUUGAGGUGGACAGUGUAAUUAACGGCCGUAGAAGGUUUGUAGUUGUUGAGCCGCACCUGAUCUGUUAUCCAAAGGGGCGUGGCGUGGGAUCACUGAGGACCAAAUAUUUCGUGUCCUUCCCCCCGGGAUUUGAGGUUAAACGGUCUUCUGGCCUUGAUAGCGUUGAAAUAUUUAUCACGCAAGUUCUUGAUGAAGCAAAGUAAUUGUGAUUGAUUGCUGGCAAAAAAAAAAAAAAAGUAACUGUGUUUGAUAUAUGA